GGGCCCGCACAAGCGGUGGAUUAUGUGGUUUAAUUCGAAGCAACGCGCAGAACCUUACCAAGGCUUGAAAUCCUAGGAAUCCGACGUAAUGGUUGGAGUGCCCGCAAGGGAAUCUAGUGACAGGUGCUGCAUGGCUGUCGUCAGCUCGUGUUGUGAAAUGUUGGGUUAAGUCUCGCAACGAGCGCAACCCCUAUCUUUAGUUGCCAGCAUUAAGUUGGGCACUCUAGAGAGACUGCCCGGUUAACCGGAGGAAGGUGGGGAUGACGUCAAGUCCUCAUGGCCCUUAUGCCUUGGGCUACACACGUAAUACAAUGGUACACACAAAGGGACGCGACCCCGGCGACGGU
rnacentral:rRNA from 1 species